GGCAUGCCCGGAAGAUCACCUGGAAACACAUCAAGAUAAUCUCGUAUCACUGGAACUGAAUUAAUAGAAGGGGUCUCGGCACUAACAUGUUUCACAUAAGCUAAAUAAGCGGCACACCCCUUCUCAACCGUACGCUGAGAUUUAAGAAAAGAGAUAACUUUACUGGGAGUGUGAUCUAAAGUACAAAACUCAAUACGCGGAAUACCUGGCCUAGCCAGAAUCGCGAUCUUGGCGUGACAAUCAAGAAUAGCAAAAUGGGACGAAAACCAGUCCUUGCCCAAAAUAAUGUCAAAAUCAACCAUAUCGAGUAAUAAUAAACCUGCUCUGGUAUCAAAACCACAAAUACUAACUAAACAUGACUGAUAGAUGCAGUCCACAACACGAGAAUACCCCACAGGAGUAGAAACAUAUACGAGGGCACUCAAAAAAUCCCGAGGCACACCCAAGUGCGGAGCAAGGUAAGAAGACACAUAAGAAUAAGUGGAGCUCGAAUCGAAUAGAACCAAUGCCUCUCUAUGAAAAACUAAUAUAAUACUUGUGAUAACAGAAUCGGAGGCAAUAGCUUUGGCACGAGCAGGAAGGGCAUAAUAUCUGGUCUGGCCUCCCUUUUGAGGGCGACCUCUACCUCCUCGGCCUCAACCUCUAGCUGGUUGAGUGGGUGGGGCAGGAACUGGAGCUUUGAUCCUAGCCAGAGAACUUUGUUGACCAUACUGUGACUGAGAAGCCCGUGGGGGUGCACUCCACCCAAGUCUAGGGCAAUCCGACACCACAUGCCCGGUGUCUCCACACUCAAAACAAGCUCUUGGAGAGCGUGAUGGUUGUGACUGAAUAGGGCUAGGUCUGUUGGACUGACCUCUGGAAAUAGAGCGCGGAGGAGGCGCGCUAGAAACAGGAGGUGCAUAGUAAGGCUCCUGAUGUGUAGGCGGAGCUGGAGCACUGCUGGUUGCUGGAAGAGCUGAAUGAAUGGGGCGACCCACAAAACCCUUACCAUGUCGACCUGCUCUUAGAGUACGAGCACCAGAGUAGUGGCCGGACUCUCGAGACCACUUGGCCUCUCUCUCCACUCAAUCCCUGGCGAGCAUACUCUCCAUCCUCCUAGCAAUGCUCACUACCUGUGGAUAAGGAAUGUUCAUCUCAAAAUCUCGAGCCAUGCUAGAUUUUACAGGUGGGAUAAGACCCUCGAUGAACCUGGGAACUCUCUCGCGGACUGUAGCAACCACGGUUGGUGCAUGCCUAGCCAAUCUGGUAUAGCAGAUAGCAUACUUUGAAACGGUCAUAGCACCAUAGCGCAAAUGCUCAAACUCUUUGCGCCACGUGUCCCUGAGACUCUGGAGGACAAACUCUCUCAUAAACAUAUCUGAGAAUUAGGUCCAAGUCAGUGAAGUAGCCUUGACUGGACUGUCUAUCUCAUAAGUGCGCUACCAAUAAUAGGCGUCUCCCCAAAGCUAAAAGCAGUAAAGAAAACCCUGACGGACUCUACUAUGCCAAUAGUACGAAGAAUAAGGUGACAAUCCUCUAGAAAUCCCAAGGCAUCGUCUGAUGCCAACCUACUAAACACUGGGGGAUAAUACUUCUUGAACCUCAUAAGUCUCUGAUGCUCGUCCUCUGAAGCAACUGACCCAUCCUCGGGCUGAACUGGCAUUGCAUGCGAUGCGGGAAUAAUCUUGGGAGCCUACUCAACCUGCACUUGCUACUCAAGAGUGCGGAAGACGGGAGUCUGUGUUCCUCCCCCAGCCUGGGAUGUGGCUGCAACAAGGGGAAGCAACCCUGCCUGAGCCAUGGUGGGGUACAUACUAAUGAGAUGAGCCAAAGUCUCCAAGAGAACUGGAGUAAAAGUGGCACUAGUAGGCGUGCCAGGUGCCAGGGCUCUUGCUGGAUCUACUGGUAGCGCCUCGGUAGCAGCUCGCGCAGGUGCUCUGGCUGCACCACGUGCACGACUUCAACCUCUGCCUCGGCCCUGGUCUCCAACGGCUGCAAUGGGGGGCGCAGGUGCCUGAUUCUCCCGAUUAGUGCGUGUCCUCACCAUCUAUGAGAAAAUGGAAGGCAAAAGUCUAGAAUUUUGUGAUGUCAAAAUAUCGCACGACAAGGAAAUCAAAUGAAGUGGAAAUUUUUCCUAAUAGUUACACAGCCUCUCGUAGAUAAGUACAAAUGUCUCUGUACCGAUCAACGAGACUCUAAUAAACCCGCCAGUGUCUCGUGACUCCUAUGAACCUAGAGCUCUGAUACCAACUUGUCGCGACUCCAGUUCGCCAUCCAUGAUCAUGUAGUGUUGCCACCUUUUUCCUAUAACUAGGUAAGCCUAAAAAUGCUGGAAAACAACAGAACUUGUAGAAUAAUUAAUUAAACCUAAACAACUAAAAGAAACUUCAUAUAAAGGUCGCUCGGCAUAUACAACUCAAAAUGCGGAAGUCUACAAUAUCAUCCCAAAAACCGGAUACUCAUGGAAACACAAGCCAAAAGAAGUACUGUAAAAUGCUGUAAUCUCUAGAAAUGUCUAUACAAGAGUACGAUAGAAGGCUAAAUACUACAUAUAGAGUAAAGAAGGAGACUCUUCCGUAUACGGGCGUGGAAGAUAUACCUCAAAGUCUCUGUAGCUCUCUCUGCCUUAAGGAUAGUGCGCCUGAGUGGAGGUACCUGGAUCUGCACAUGAAAAACAUGCCGAGGAGGGGCAUGAGUACACCACAACGGUACUUAAUAAAUGCAAGCCUAACCUCGGUUGGGUAGUGACGAGGAAAGGUCCGGGCCAUACUGAGAUAUAACAUAAUAAAGAAUAAGAAAAUAAAAAAAACACUAUAGAUAAAGUGUACAGAGAGAAUCUAAACAAGAUAAAUACGGAAACCAUUAUAGAAAGUAGACAAACAGGAAAAUACUAGUAAAUACUACUCACAACAGGAACAACAACUGGGGAUCUCUUGGUAUCCCGAGGAUCUCUUGGUAUCCUUAUCACAUACGCGAGGGCUCUCUUGGUAUCACGAAGAUCUCUUGGUAUCCUCAAAUCUUACAAUUUUAUGUACCAGGGGUCUCUUAGUAUACCGAGGAUCUCUUGGUAUCCUCAACUCUUACAAUUUAAUGUUCUGGGGAUCUCUUAGCAUCCCGAUGAUCUUUUGGUAUCCUAAAAUCUUAAAAAUUUCAUGUGCUAGAGAUCUCUUGGUAUCCCGAGGAUCUCUUGGUAUGCUCAAAUAUUACAAUUUCAUGUGCCAGGGAUCUCUUGGUACCCCAAGGUUCUCUUGGUAUCCUAAAAUCUUACAAUUUCAUGUGUCAGGGAUCUCUUGGUAUCCUCAAAUAUUACAAUUUCAUGUGCUAGGGAUCUCUUGGUAUCCUCAAAUCUAAUAAUUUCACGUGCCAUGGAUCUCUUGGUAUCCCGAUGAUCUUUUGGUAUCCUCAAAUCUAACAAUUUCAUAUGCAAGGGAUCUAUUGGUAUCCCGCACCCUCAGUCAAUAACAUAUCAAGUGAAGGGGGAUCUCCCGGGAGGCCUACUCAUAGUCCCAAUUUAAAUACACACAGUAGCAACCCAAACAUUAGGAUAGAUACUAAACUCAGGACAAGAAAUAGAAAAUCCUAGCGAAACAUACAACACUUAGCACAACCAAGACAGUUUAAGCACCUAGGUAAGUAAGUCAACAAAACAUGCUUCUCUAAACUAGCAUAGAAUAAGCUUGCAUAUUAAGAUAAACAGGUAAGCAAGAAAACUCAAUUUUGAAUACUUCAAGUAAAAACAUAUUUCCAACAAUUUUCUCAAGUACGUGCUAGUCACCACACGUACGAGGCAUUCAAAUACCAAACAUCAUGUCCUAAGGGAUGAAGUCCUCCACACAUGGUUAGACAAGCCACUUACAUAAACCGACUCCAAAAUAAACUUGGAAUCACCCUUUUGCCAUGAGUAUCUGAAUCCUAAUGGCCAAAAUUUAUUCAUUUCAAUUACAUCUCGUAAAUAACAUCUCAAAAAACUAAUUCUACUAUUUAAUUUAAGGUUAAGACGCAAAUAUAGGUAAAAUGACCGAAACACCCCUCAGGCCAACGUGGUCAAAACCCGAGGUUUAAACCAAAACCCAGUUACCAUUCCCCCACAAGCUGAAAUAUAGGAUUUGUCUUGAAAUCAGACCUUAAAUGGAGGUCAAAUCCCCCAAUUUUUGCAAAAACUAGGUUUUACCCGAUAUACCCAAAUUUUCCCAUUAAAAUCUUUGAUUUGAAGUUAAAAUUAUGUUAAAAGAUGAUAAGGAGUUAAGAAAAUAAGUUAGUAAUCACUUACCAAUCGUUUUGAAGAAGGAGAAUCAUUCGAGAAAUCGCCUCUUAUGUUUUGGGUUUUUAAAAGUGAAAAAUAACAAAGUUUCCCAUUCAUUUAUACCCCUCUGAAGUUCCCCAGCGCAGACCGCACAAAAAGGACCAAGGCCGCUCUAACCUACCUGAUGACCUGCGGGUUCUAGACCUGUGUGGACCGCGCAAAACCCACCGGGACCGCACAACACCCACCACAAACUGCAGAAAGGCGACUGCAGCGAUUUCUCGCACACUCUGUUGGAGGGUUCAAAGUCUGCAACAUUUUCCUGAACCUGCAACAGCUGAUAUUUUAAAUCUAAUGCAUUCUGGAACCUACUCAAAACUCACCCGAGCCCUCGGGGCUCCAAACCAAACAUACACAUAACCCCAAAAACAUCCUACGAACUUUAUCGUGUGAUUAAAUCGUCAAAAUAACAUCAUAUUCAUCGAAUCAAGCCUCAAAACUCGUGAUUUCUUCCAAAUUUUCAUAAGACAUCAUAUCCCAUUUUAAGUCCGAAACAAGCCAAACAGCGUUCUUUUUCAACAAAACUUUACAGAAAGCGCUUAAACCAUAUAUAAGACUUGUACAGGGGGCUGAAACCAAAAUACAGGCCAGAUACCAUAGUCUUUUAAUCAAAUCUCAUUUCCAAUUUCCUUAAACUUCACAUAAAAAUUUAUUUCUCGGGCUUGGGACCUCGAAAUUCGAUUCCAAGCAUACGCCAAAGUCCCAUAUUUUUCUGCGGACCCUCCGGGACUGUCAAAUCACGGAUCCAGAUCCGUUUACCUAAAAUAUUAACCGAAGUAAAAUUUAUUCAAUUUAAUAUUGAAAUUUAGAAUUUUUCUCACAUAAUCCAUAUGUAAGCUUUCCGGCUACGCGCCCGGACAGUACGCGCAAAUUGAGGCUACCCUGAAUGAGGUUUUUAAGGCCUCGAAAGUAUAAAGUAAGUAAAAAUAAUAAGUGAUGACCCCCUUUGGGUCGUCACAUAUAGCAGGGACAGAAGAGAUUAUUUAGGGUGGUUUCAAGUGACCUUGCACAAAUUUGUGCAUGAUUUAGGAGAUUGAUGGUUGAUGGAGAUGAGAGAAAAGAGAGGGUGGAAAAGCCAAUUUAAGGUGGCUAAUUGUUGAGUGAAUUAUUAGGGUUCUGGGGGGAUAAGGGUCUG
rnacentral:lncRNA from 1 species